AUAUAAAUAAGUUCAACUCACAACUUUGACUUAGUGGAACAAGAAGUAGCACAUGGUGGAUAUCACAACUCUACUUGUAUCUCACUUGCCAUAUUUCAUUCCAUUGAUUUUUGACCCCAUUUCAAUAACCAACACAUCUGCUAUUUUAUGUAGUUCAUAAAAAAAUCUUAACAAUAGUGCCAUUGUUAGCCUCCCUCUUAUUAUGAUGCACUUCUUUACAGCAAAAUUGACUCAUGUAGCACGUCCUUUAAUGACCCAGAUGUGCGUCACGUCAG